GGCGAGAUAGUUCAGUUGGCUAGAACGUUCGGUUCAUACCCGAAAAGUCGGGGGUUCAAGUCCCUCUCUCGCUACCA
rnacentral:tRNA from 3 species